CCCGGGAUAGUCUACUAGUGUUUGUGAAAGAACUUGAAGGUGACAAGAUACCGUUUGGUCAUUCUGCUCGAGACGUGGAGGUGUAUGCCUGACUUCAUUCAAUCGUAACAGCUGUACCACGCAGUCAGACAGUCCACCAUGGGUACAGGCGUGACAACAAUUUUUGCCUGCCUUCGAUUCCCGAUCGAUAAUGCGGUUGGCAUUAAACGGAAUAAUAGUGUGGUCAACAGGGUGUAAACCCCGUUCUCCAAUUCCCGCGUGCAACAGACACGGUGGCUGCUUAAAAGGAUGUUCUUUUGCAUGAGUGCUUUUUUUUAAAAUACCGAAAGUUCCUUCUGGCUGAUUUUGUGGUUUUUGAGGUAUUUCGACCUUUGUUGUGGAAUUUGUUGUCUGAACAUUACAGGAAACUAUAGAAGCCAAACUGCAAUAGAUGAUAUGAAGCUCAUGAAUCUUGUUUCAAAAGCAUUCUUCCACUCUUGCACAUCAUCUUUGGAAACCUCUAAGAAUUGUCAAAAUAGCAUUAAAAUAAUCACUACUACAGUUAUUUAUAUAAAAUUUGCAGGUAGGAUAUUUAUACCUUUCGGGUAAGCAUUAUCAAAACGCUAAACAACAUUAGCCAUCAGUAGUACGGAACUACUAGGGAAAUGAGAAAGUCACAACGGGUGUAGCGCGGUGUAAACUCUGAUAACUUAUGUUGUAGCAUCAGUCACAAAUUGCAUCAUGAUGAUGGAGAUGAAGUAGUGCAAACUGUUCUCUUUGUUAGUCUAUAAACUAUUAAUGCAGAUUGUGCAAGAUGCUCAGUCGACAGGAGGGUUGUUCAAAGUUUCAAAGCUUAGCCGCCAGUGAGUACAGUUUCAAUCUUGCAGAAUUUCCGUUUUUACGAUUUCAACAGAUGGCCACGUCUAACUGCUUCCUAAACACGGGGCUGGUGUGGGUGCCAUGUGCUUUCUUGUGGUGCCCUCUGCCCUUCUACCUGGUGGUGCUGGCCAGGAAAGGGGAAGUCACUCCACUUCAUAUCACCUGGUUGAACUCGGCCAAGACGUUUUUCAGCUUGACACUGAGCAUGGUGGCGCUGUUGUCAUUGGUACAAGACUUCAAACUGUCGACAGACAGAGGCAGUGACGUGCUUCCGGUGGUCAUCUACCUGUCCAGCGCCCUGCGGCUGGUGUCGUA